AUGAAUCCAGCCUUGUAUACCAUCUCGCCGGAGUUUCAGAAACCAAUUGCUCCAGAUAAAGGAACAGAAAAUUUUAGCAAGCAAAAAAAAGUCUGGCUUGUUAAACAUUUGGUGUUGUGUCCACUGUCCAUGGAUCAGAGCACACUAAUUAAGUUUAUAACAUUUGAUUGCUCAUUACUUAUGAAGACAAUGGUAUUUAUUAUACAGGAAUGCCAUCUAUGUAUGUAUGAGUUUUUUUGCUUCUAUAUAUAUAUAUGUGUGCAUGCAGGAGGUUUACAUGUAUUAUCUUAUGAGAUGGACACCCUUCCAUUCGCUGAUUGUACGUAG
rnacentral:rRNA from 1 species